UGGAGGAAAGUAGGGGAUCGAAAGACCUUAUGCUUUUGGAGCGGCCGAUGUCUGAUUAGCUAGUUGGUAAGGUAAUGGCUUACCAAGGCAACGAUCAGUAGUUGGUCUGAGAGGACGACCAGCCACACUGGGACUGAGACACGGCCCAGACUCCUACGGGAGGCAGCAGUGGGGAAUUUUGGACAAUGGGCGCAAGCCUGAUCCAGCAAUGCCGCGUGAGUGAAGAAGGCCUUCGGGUUGUAAAGCUCUUUCAAUCGAGAAGAAAAAAUCAUGACUAAUAAUCAUGAUUAAUGACGGUAUCGAUAGAAGAAGCACCGGCUAACUACGUGCCAGCAGCCGCGGUAAUACGUAGGGUGCUAGCGUUAAUCGGAAUUACUGGGCGUAAAGGGUGCGCAGGCGGUUUUGUAAGUCAGAUGUGAAAUCCCCGGGCUUAACCUGGGAAUUGCGUUUGAAACUACAAGGCUAG
rnacentral:rRNA from 1 species